GACGAACGCUGGCGGCGUGCCUAAUACAUGCAAGUUGAGCGCUGAAGGUUGGUACUUGUACCGACUGGAUGAGCAGCGAACGGGUGAGUAACGCGUGGGGAAUCUGCCUUUGAGCGGGGGACAACAUUUGGAAACGAAUGCUAAUACCGCAUAAAAACUUUAAACACAAGUUUUAAGUUUGAAAGAUGCAAUUGCAUCACUCAAAGAUGAUCCCGCGUUGUAUUAGCUAGUUGGUGAGGUAAAGGCUCACCAAGGCGAUGAUACAUAGCCGACCUGAGAGGGUGAUCGGCCACAUUGGGACUGAGACACGGCCCAAACUCCUACGGGAGGCAGCAGUAGGGAAUCUUCGGCAAUGGACGAAAGUCUGAACGAGCAACGCCGCGUGAGUGAAGAAGGUUUUCGGAUCGUAAAACUCUGUUGGUAGAGAAGAACGUUGGUGAGAGUGGAAAGCUCAUCAAGUGACGGUAACUACACAGAAAGGGACGGCUAACUACGUG
rnacentral:rRNA from 1 species